rnacentral:rRNA from 1 species
CAGCCGUAAACAAUGUGCGUUAGGUGUGUCGGUAACCACGUGUUACUGAUGCGCCGAAGAGAAAUCGUGAAACGCACCACCUGGGAAGUACGGUCGCAAGGCUGAAACUUAAAGGAAUUGGCGGGGGAGCACCACAACAGGUGGAGCCUGCGGUUUAAUUGGAUUCAACGCCGGGAAGCUCACCGGAUAAGACAGCGGAAUGAUUGCCGGGCUGAAGACUCUGCAUGACUAGCUGAGAGGAGGUGCAUGGCGUCAGUGACU